AGUGAACGCUGGCGGUAGGCCUAACACAUGCAAGUCGAACGGCAGCACAGUAAGAGCUUGCUCUUACGGGUGGCGAGUGGCGGUCGGGUGAGGAAUACAUCGGAAUCUACUUUUUCGUGGGGGAUAACGUAGGGAAACUUACGCUAAUACCGCAUACGACCUACGGGUGAAAGCAGGGGAUCUUCGGACCUUGCGCGAUUGAAUGAGCCGAUGUCGGAUUAGCUAGUUGGCGGGGUAAAGGCCCACCAAGGCGACGAUCCGUAGCUGGUCUGAGAGGAUGAUCAGCCACACUGGAACUGAGACACGGUCCAGACUCCUACGGGAGGCAGCAGUGGGGAAUAUUGGACAAUGGGCGCAAGCCUGAUCCAGCCAUACCGCGUGGGUGAAGAAGGCCUUCGGGUUGUAAAGCCCUUUUGUUGGGAAAGUAAAGCAGCAGGUUAAUACCCCGCUGUUCUGACGGUACCCAAAGAAUAAGCACCGGCUAACUUCGUG
rnacentral:rRNA from 1 species